rnacentral:rRNA from 1 species
CACGUAGGGGGCGAGCGUUGUCCGGAUUUAUUGGGCGUAAAGAGCUCGUAGGCGGCUCGGUAAGUCGGGUGUGAAACCUCCAGGCUCAACCUGGAGGCGCCACCUGAUACUGCUGUGGCUAGAGUCCGGUAGGGGAGUGUGGAACUCCUGGUGUAGCGGUGAAAUGCGCAGAUAUCAGGAAGAACACCAGCGGCGAAGGCGGCACUCUGGGCCGGAACUGACGCUGAGGAGCGAAAGCGUGGGUAGCAAACAGG